GAUUGUCGAUUUGGAGAGAUAUAAGCUGAAAACCGUUACUCAGGAGCAGAUUCUGGGCGAUUCGACGUCUAAGCGUACAAUUCAG
rnacentral:sRNA from 1 species